rnacentral:rRNA from 1 species
AGUGAACGCUGGCGGUAGGCCUAACACAUGCAAGUCGAACGGCAGCACAGUAAGAGCUUGCUCUUACGGGUGGCGAGUGGCGGACGGGUGAGGAAUACAUCGGAAUCUACUUUUUCGGGGGGGAUAACGGAGGGAAACUUACGCUAAUACCGCAUACGACCUACGGGGGAAAGCAGGGGAACUUCGGACCUUGCGCGAUUGAAUGAGCCGAUGUCGGAUUAGCUAGUUGGCGGGGUAAAGGCCCACCAAGGGGACGAUCCGUAGCGGGUCUGAGAGGAUGAUCAGCCACACUGGAACUGGGACACGGUCCAGGCUCCUACGGGAGGCAGCAGUGGGCAAUAUUGGACAGUGGGCGCAAGCCUGAUCCAGCCGUACCGCGUGGGUGAAGAAGGCCUUCCGGUUGUAAAGCCCUUUUGUUGGGAAAGAAACGCAGCAGGUUAAUACCCCGCUGUUCUGACGGUACCCAGAGAAUAAGCACCGGCUAACUUCGUG